UGACAACUCAGACAGGCCAU
rnacentral:misc_RNA from 1 species